UACGGAAUGACUCUCGGCAACGGAUAUCUAGGCUCUUGCAUCGAUGAAGAACGUAGCGAAAUGCGAUACUUGGUGUGAAUUGCAGAAUCCCGUGAACCAUCGAGUCUUUGAACGCAAGUUGCGCCCGAAGCCAUUAGGCUGAGGGCACGUCUGCCUGGGCGUCACA
rnacentral:rRNA from 2 species